CCCUUAGAUGUUCUGGGCGGCCCGCGCACUACAAUGGCGCUUUCAGCGAGUUCCUAUGUUGAAUUUUCAUGGGUAUUCUUGGAAGCGGCGUCUUGACUUGGGAUAGAUCCUUGUAAUUGUUGGUUUUGAACGAGGAAUUCCUUGUAAUCGCGGUUGAUCAGCUCGCGUUGAAUACGUCCCUGCCCUUUGUACACACCGCCCGUCGCUCCUACCGAUGAAUCGUCCGGUGAAGUUCACAGAGUGGCGGUUCGUGGAGUUGCUCGCGAAGUGAAAUGGACCUCACGAUUUAGAGGAAGGAGAAGUCGUAACA
rnacentral:rRNA from 1 species